GGUUAAUCUGACAACAGCACCCACUUCACAGACCUUUGUGUAAACAAAGAACUGUGUGUAGCCAACGCUAACUCUUCAGCCGCACAGGCAUUUAAGCUAAGCCCUUUACCUCAACUGCUAGCUGUUAGCAUCUGACUAACACUUAGAUAGGUGUGAUAAGAAAGUUA